rnacentral:sRNA from 1 species
UGUAUUCUACACCUGUCUAGUCUACAAA